UGUAGACGACUUACAUUAUCCCGGGGUGCUGUAAACAUGAAAGUAAACUAUGUUUUACGAUCUGUUGAGGCUUAUCCUCAGUGAUAUAAG